rnacentral:rRNA from 1 species
GGGUCAGUAGGUUGGUCGUGCCACCGGUACGUACUGGUCUCACUGAUUCCUCCUUCCUGAAGAACCGUAAUGCCAUUAAUUUGGUGUUGCGGGGAAGCAGGACUGUUACUUUGAAAAGAUUAGAGUGUUUAAAGCAAGCUAACGCUUGAAUACAUUAGCAUGGAAUAAUGAAAUAGGACGAUCGAUCCUAUUUUGUUGGUUUCUAGGAUUGACGUA